rnacentral:rRNA from 1 species
GCUUGUAGCCAUACCGCCAACCCUGAACACACCCAAAUUCAGAAGAUAGGUAGGAUCAGGCCUGGUGUGUUCUUCGAUUGAAGACUGCCUCAGAAGACCAGAUGCUGUAAGCU